rnacentral:tRNA from 1 species
GACGAGGUGGCUGAGUGGUUAAGGCAAUGGACAUUGUGCUCUUUUUUGCGUGGGUUUGAGUCCCAUCCUUGUUG